AUUGAACGCUGGCGGCAGGCUUAACACAUGCAAGUCGAGCGGGGAAGGGUAGCUUGCUACCUAACCUAGCGGCGGACGGGUGAGUAAUGCUUAGGAAUCUGCCUAUUAGUGGGGGACAACAUUCCGAAAGGAAUGCUAAUACCGCAUACGCCCUACGGGGGAAAGCAGGGGAUCUUCGGACCUUGCGCUAAUAGAUGAGCCUAAGUCAGAUUAGCUAGUUGGUGGGGUAAAGGCCUACCAAGGCGACGAUCUGUAGCGGGUCUGAGAGGAUGAUCCGCCACACUGGGACUGAGACACGGCCCAGACUCCUACGGGAGGCAGCAGUGGGGAAUAUUGGACAAUGGGCGCAAGCCUGAUCCAGCCAUGCCGCGUGUGUGAAGAAGGCCUUUUGGUUGUAAAGCACUUUAAGCGAGGAGGAGGCUACUUGGAUUAAUACUCUAGGAUAGUGGACGUUACUCGCAGAAUAAGCACCGGCUAACUCUGUGCCAGCAGCCGCCGCAGUA
rnacentral:rRNA from 1 species